UUUAAUAAUGGAAAUUGAUGUAAAAAUUAUCACUAGCCACUUUAAAACCAAUUGCCUCUGGUUUGGCUGUAGUUCCAGCAUCAGUAGUAUCUGGUUUGGCUGUAGUUCCAGCAUCGGUAGUAUCUGGUUUGGCUGUAGUUCCAGCAUCAGUAAUUCCUGGUUUGGCUGUAGUUCCAGCAUCGGUAAUUCUGGUUUGGCUGUAGUUCCAGCAUCGGUAAUUCCUGUGUUUGGCUGUAGUUCCAGCAUCAGUAGUAUCUGGUUUGGCGUGUAGUUCCAGCAUCGGUUAGUAUCUGGUUUUGCUGUAGUUCCAGCAUCAGUAGUAUCUGGUUGGCCUCUGCUACUGUCCAGCUAUCGGUUUAGUACAUUUGAAGAAUCUCAAAUAAAAAAUAUAUUUUGAUUUAAUACUUCUUUAGUUACUACAUUAUUCCAUAUGGGUUGUUUCAUAGUUUUGAUGUCUUCACUAUUAUUCUACAAUGUAGAAAAUAGUUUUUUUUUUAAAUAAAGAAAAACCCUUGAAAGAGUAGGUGUUCUAAAACUGGUAGUGUACUGUAUAUAAUUAUCUAGUAUACUAAAUAUAACGUUUAGAACUUACUUGCAUGACAGUCCGGCUCUGGUUACUUCACAGAUACCGCUGUUGCAGUUUUUAGUGUUAUUAUGUCUGGGGUCACAUGCCGUCAAACAGAGCAACUUCCCGUCUUUAUUGUAAGGCUCAAAGUAUUUAGCAAAAUCAAGGUUGAUUGUUUUCUGACAUACAGCUGAGAGAAAGAGAGAGAGAGAGAAAAUGUUUUUUACAUAUUUCAUUUCCUUCUUGAUCUGGUCUAAACUCUUAUUUUGUUAAUGAGGGAAUCUUUUCCCCAUCUGCUGCACCAUCGUUCCCUUCCUCCACUUAUUCCUGCUUCCUCUAGUCUUCUGUCUGAAUGUUCUCACCUUUCUCAUCAAGUGGCGUUUCUUGUACGUCCUCCACUGACUCAACAGUAAACGUAGGACAUCCUGAGUUAAGAGCUGAACAAAUAUGAUAAUGAUAUUACCAAAUAUUUUUGUCCAUGUCUUAACAAUGCUAGUUUGAUUUGAAUUGUUGUGUGUAUUUUGAAGGUGUGUUUUUAGAUGUGACUUUAUGUAUUGCUGUUACCUGAACACAAUUUGAUAUUCGCCAAAGCUAAAUUAACGUUGUCUACGAAGUUCUUGUACUGUUGCUCAGCUCCUGGUUCAUUCAGAACCGUCAGAAUGAUAUUGUGUUUGAUCUUCACACUUAAGAAAGGAGGUUGAGUAAACGUCUGAGGUUAUUUUGCACUGAAUUUCUUCCCACAGUGAGGCCUAACAUUUGUUUUUGUAAACUGAGGGUGUGGUCUUGGCAAACCCAACUACCACUAACCUAUUUGAAUUCUGUGGUAACCAGGGUUGGGGUCAAUUCCGUUUCAGUUACAGUCAAGUCAGAAAGGAAACACAAUUCCACAUUUUACUCAUUGAAAAGCAUUGAAGAAUUUCAGUGUACAUAUAUCUGAAUAGACUGAAAAUGAAAUGGAAUUAACCCCAACUCUGGUGGUAACCAACCAUCACCAAAACCCAAAGGUUUAUGUAUCAUAGUUAAUGAAUCAUUUAUUUAAAUUACCGAUAUGAUCCUGCCUUGGGGUUGUACAAGGAGUUUUCCAUCUGAAAGCAUCACAGAGCAAAAUAUCAUCACUACACCAUCUGCAACUUUCAGCUUCUCUGUGAAACAUGAUUAUAAAGUAUGAAUAAGAAUGUAAGAGGUUCUCUUUGUCCUUUGCAUUUACCCUUUUCUCCUCUAUACCACGUCCCAAGGGUAUGGUUAUAGCUGACCAAUUACUGAGGGAACAAAAAUAAUGAAGACCAAUGAGAAUAAUCUCUGCAUACUCUUUGUUUACAUUUUCAUAUAACCUCAUGACAAUGUGGACAGGUUUUUGUACUGUCAAUAGAUCACCUUUAUAUAAGAUAAGGGGUAGGACAGGAUACAGGGUGAAAUUGUUGUUUUGUAAAUAUGUACCAUGGUGUUUUUGGUAUGCUAGUCUAGUACCUCAGAGUUAAGUUUUCCACUGUGAAAUUCCGUAUCCCUUUACUCUUGUAGUAUUCCUCCAUCUGAAAUGUAAACAGUGGUCACUGCAUAUUCACGAAGACUUGAGAUAAAAUGAAUUAACCCCAUGGCCUCUGUGGCAAUUAAAUAGAAAAUCACCUGCUGUCUUGAACAGCAGUUGUUACUUUAUUUAUUUAUCCACAUUACUUUACAAAUGUUUUAUUUUACUUAAAUGUAUUUAACACUUAACUUGACAUUAGUGUUUUGUCUUACCUCUGUUGUGAAAUUCUUGACCUUGUCUGUGUAUUCAGUUGAAGUUUUGUCGUUAUAUUUUUCUAUGUACGGGGAAUUAGUUUCCAUAUUAUGAACCACCGCUGUCCUAUUGAGCGUACCUACAAGAAGACCAAGUGACAACAUUUGUGAAUGUAUCAUAACCUAUUGACAAAUAAAAUAGGUGAAGUACUAUUUCUAAUAUAUUAUGCUUUCUAAGUUAUCAAAGUGAAAAGAAUCUAAGUCUUGUAUUCAUCACUUAUCUAUUUCAUUUGCUGUGAUUAUUAAGGGAAAGUAUGAGUGUCACUCAGGGCUGUUUCGGUUUCGCAAAUUGUAUUUGUUUUACAAAAUGUCUCACAUACCUGGCACUAUGUCAGUUUUAAAAUCUCUGCAGGUCUCCCCGUGGAAGUCAGGAGGACAGUUGCAAGACUGUCCUUCAGGUGUACCUCCGUUCUCACACUGAAUUGGUGGCGUAGCGGUGGUUGCAAUAGUAGAAGAAGUUGUACUUGGCAAAGAUGGUUCGGCUGUAGUUCCAGCAUCAGUAGUACCUGGUUUGGCUGUAGUUCCAGCAUCAGUAGUACCUGGUUUGGCUGUAGUUCCAGCAUCAGUAGUACAAGGGCCCAAAGGGGGGGGGGGGUGUGGGGGGGGUGGGGGGGGUUGUCGGAACUAGAAGCACAAGCAUUUCGCUACACUCGCAUUAACAUCUGCUAACCAUGUGUAUGUGACAAAUAACAUUUGAUUUGAUUUGAUUUGAUUUGAUUUGAUUUGAAGUGUAGCUACUGUCUUGGAAGGAACUAAUGGGGAUCCAUAAU
rnacentral:lncRNA from 1 species